UACGAAGGGGGCUAGCGUUGCUCGGAUUGACUGGGCGUAAAGGGCGCGUAGGCGGUUCGUACAGUCAGACGUGAAAUCCUGGGCUCAACCUGGGGCUGCGUUUGAUACGUGCGGACUUGAGUGCGGAAGAGGGUCGUGGAAUUCCCAGUGUAGAGGUGAAAUUCGUAGAUAUUGGGAAGAACACCGGUGGCGAAGGCGGCGACCUGGUCCGAUACUGACGCUGAGGCGCGAAAGCGUGGGGAGCAAACAGG
rnacentral:rRNA from 1 species